UAAGACGAACCUUGCAAACGUUAUUCGGAAUCACUGGGCUUAAAGGGUGCGUAGGCGGUGCGGAAAGUUGGGUGUGAAAUCCCUCAGCUUAACUGAGGAACUGCGCUCAAAACUUCCGUGCUAGAGGGAGAUAGAGGUGAGCGGAACUUAGGGUGGAGCGGUGAAAUGCGUUGAUAUCCUAAGGAACACCGGUGGCGAAAGCGGCUCACUGGAUCUCUUCUGACGCUGAGGCACGAAAGCUAGGGGAGCGAACGGG
rnacentral:rRNA from 1 species